GCGUCGGUAGUGCAACGGUUUGAGCGCGCGCCCUCGGAUAGGGUGAAACAUGGGUUCGAGUCCCAAUUGACGCA